UACAGUAAGAAACGAUAAAUCUAAGAAGAUAAAGCGUUUGAAAAUUUCUAUAAGUGUCCCUUUGUUCCAUCGUUACUUGAAUAUAAAGAAACAAUCGUCAUCACCUACGAAAAAAUUCAGCUUGGUGCAAAUUAGGUUACAAGAGUGGUUGAUCGGAUCUAUCUUCUAAGAAACAGGUCAUUAUAUCUAAAAAAAUAAUAAUAAAAAAAAAAAGAAAAAGAAAGAAGAAAAAGAAAAAAAAAAAGAAAAUAUAAAAUCUAUGUGAUUACAAUCAUAUGGUGUACGUGAGAGUAUUUACUACGCAUCUUGAGACUGCAAGGAGUACAGUGAUCCUGAAAGUGCAGUGGAGGGAGAUAAAGAAAGAGAAAGAUAGAAAGCAGGGAAAGAGAGAGAGAGAGAGAGAGAAAACGGAUAGACUAACAGGCACCGUAUGUAUAAGAGAGAGAGAGAGAGAGAAAGAGAGAGAGAGAGAGAGAGAGAGAGAGAGAGAGAGAAUGAAUAGACUUACAGAUACCGUGUUUGAGAGAAAGAGAGAGAGAGAGAGAGAGAAAAGUCAUGCGAAGAGAGACAGAGAUAACGACAGAGAGGUUUUUUCAAAAAAUCACCAGUCACUCGGAUAAACAAUUCGUAACUCGAAGUAAGUAAGAAGAAACGAUUCAUCUUUUCUAACCUCUUCGUGCAAACGAAAUCUCAAAAAUGUAGAAGUUGAACGAUGUCCCUUUCUUCCCGGUACAAGGCUGCGAACCGAACUGAGACGUAGAAGAAACAAGGAGUAUAGCCGCCGCGUCCAAUGCUGGAGCCGCACUGUCGAACAUCACUGCUCUCUCUUUCUCUCUUUCUUUCAUUCUCCCUCGUUUUUCUUCGUGUAGUAAUAGCGCACGCGCUCUUCCAUGUAGUAGUAGAAAACGUGCUUUUUCUAUAUAUUCUAUCAAAUUGCAUUUUAUAUAAAAUAGAAAAACACUUUCGAUAUAUUUAAAAAAAAAAAAUUUUUUUCUUUUUUAUACCACUCAUGACAAUUACAUAUACGAUAUUUUUAUAAAAAAAUAUUGUAUUUGUCAAUUACGAAGACUAGGGGUAACACAAAAAGUUGAAAAAUCGUCACGUAAAUAAUUGUCUCAGUUACAUAUUCAAUAUUCGUUUUGCUUGAGAAAUAAAAGUUAAUCUAUUUAAAAAUUGCCCAAUACUCAAUGCAAAUGAGAAACAGUUAUAGAGUAAAUAUGAUUUAAUAUCGACGUAUGCAUACGAUUAAAACAUCAUAAAACAUCAUUAGUUCUGGGAAUAUAUAUCCUCGACAUUCAUUUGUGUAUAUGUUUCCUGAAUAUGCUUACACAUGGUUAUAAUAAUUGUUAUCUGACGCGAACGGAAAUACGAAAAAGAUUAAACAGUCAGGGAACGAUGACUUCU